AUGGUUCCCUGCUGGUUUCUUGUGGCCAUCCUUGUCUCUCUAGGAUGGGCCCUUCAGCAAUCACCAGACACAGUUGUCCGGGAGGGAGACUCACUGAUUCUGAACUGUUCUGAAAAAACAGAGAGUGCAUUAUUGACCUUGUACUGGUACAAGCUGCCUGUUGGGAAGGAUGCCACUCUGCAGCUGAUUGUAAAUUCAGUGGAAGGUGGCAGAGCAGAGAUUGAAAAGGAAUUCAUAAACCACUUCCAGAGUAGUGGGACUAAGAGCAGCUGCUUAUCUGUGGAGACAAAUCAUGCCCUACUUAAUGACUCAGGCACUUAUUUCUGCGCUAAGCAAGAUACACUUGGCAUUAAUUAUUUUGGAGAAGGAACAAAAGUAACAGUUCUGGAGAAGAAUGAUGUAAUCAUACCACCAGCUGUGGCCAUCUUUUCCCCAUCAAAGCAAGAGAUCCAAGAGAAGAGCAAGGCCACACUGGUAUGCCUGGCCUCUGGUUUCUACCCCGACAACCUCAAUCUAGUCUGGAAGGUGAAUGGUGCUGACAGGACAGAAGGGGUGGGGACAGAUGAGACUUCCACAUCAUAUGGGAAUACUUAUUCACUGACCAGCCGACUGAGAAUCUCAGCCCAAGAAUGGUUCAACCCUUUGAAUCGUUUUGAGUGUGUUGCCAAUUUUUUUACGAAUGAAACACAGGAAUCAAUACACAAAUUCAUCUAUGGUGAUGCUGGCUGUACUAUUUUCAAAGAAAACUAUCAAAGAAGUGCUACAGCUGGGAAGUUUUUGUACAUCAUGCUUAUUUUGAAGAGCAUUUUGUAUGGGAUAUUUGUAGCGGGGAUGAUGCUUAGGUCCAAGUAAAUAUUCUAGAUAUGCUUUGCCCUGAAGAGGAAGACGGACA